rnacentral:rRNA from 1 species
AGCGAACGCUGGCGGCGUGCUUAACACAUGCAAGUCGAACGGAAAGUCCCUUCUUUUCUGGAGUGCUCGAGGGGCGAACUGGUGAGUAACACGUGAGUAACCUGCCCUUGACUUUGGCAUAACUUCAGGAAACUUGGGCUAUUACCGGGUAGGAGCUCCUGCUGCAUGGUGGGCGUUGGUAAGUUUCGGCGGUUGGGGAUGUACUCGCGGCUUAUCAGCUUGUUGGGUGGGUAGUGGCCUACCAAGGCUGUGCCGGGUAGCCGGCCUGGGAGGGUGACCGGCCACAUCGGGACUGAGAUACGGCCCGGACCCGUACGGGAGGCAGAAGUGGGGAAUAGUGCAGGAUGGGCGGAAGCCUGAUGCAGCACCGCCGCGUGGGGGAUGACGGUCUUUGCGUUGUAAACCGCUUCCCCCUGUGCCGAAGCGUGAGUGACGGUACUGGGUAAAGAAGCACCGGCUAACUACGUG